GAUAAACGCUAGCGGCAGGCUUAACACACGCAAGUCGAGGGGCAGCAUAGAUUGUAGCAAUACAAUUGGUGGCGACCGGCGCACGGGUGCGUAACGCGUAUGCAACCUGCCCGUCACCGGGGGAUAAUCCGGAGAAAUCUGGUCUAAUACCCCAUAACAUAUGGACCGGCAUCGGUUCAUGUUGAAAUUUUCGGAGGUGACGGAUGGGCAUGCGUAGCAUUAGCUUAUUGGUGAGGUAACGGCUCACCAAGGCGACGAUGCUUAGGGGGACUGAGAGGUUUUCCCCCCACACUGGUACUGAGACACGGACCAGACUCCUACGGGAGGCAGCAGUGAGGAAUAUUGGUCAAUGGGCGCAAGCCUGAACCAGCCAUGCCGCGUGCAGGAUGACGGCUCUAUGAGUUGUAAACUGCUUUUGUACGAGGGUAAAGUGGGUUACGUGUAACCUUUUGAAAGUAUCGUACGAAUAAGGAUCGGCUAACUCCGUGCCAGCCGCCGCGGUAA
rnacentral:rRNA from 1 species